GGUGGGUUGGCCGAGCGGCGAGGCGCUGGUCCGCAAGACCAGCUAGCGGGGUUCGACUCCCCGACCUGCCUCCA
rnacentral:tRNA from 1 species